CUUUUUUUUUUGGAUGUAAAACGGAAUAUCUUAGUCAUCCCUCUUUUUAAAACUUUGAGUCCUUGCAAAACUAAUCCAAUUCCUUGGAUCUUUUUCAGGCUUUGCAUUAUCCAAUCAGAUGUAUUGGAUUCUCGAGGUAGCUUGUACGGGUUCUAAAAUUGGUUUCCACUCUUAAGUCAACGUAGCAUCUUGUGUAGUCGCGACUCAAUACCAUAUGUCUAGUUUCGCCUCAUGCAGAGACCACAUGAAAUUCAUUCUGAUACUAAAAUGUCACACUCUAGGCAUGCAAACCUAAGGCACAACUUGGUUUCAGCAGCAAAGCUCAAUUAUUUAUUGACAGAGACAUCGUAAAAGUUCCUUUCUCUUGUAGGGGACCUUCUCUCUCUAAAAAGAGAGCUUUUCUUUCCAUUGUGGAAGAUCUGAAAAGUUACUGAGUAGCAAUAAAGAAUUAAAAGACUCAACCUUUUUCACUUUCAGACAAAUCUCUCAUCACUUCCACUUUGAUGUAGAAGGUUCUGUGUC
rnacentral:lncRNA from 1 species